UGGUCAUUACCAAGGCUUUUAGAAUGCAGUUUGCUGUGAACAUGACCAUAAAGAAAUUUCCCACUAGGUUUUCUAUAUGCUACUUUGUUAACAAUCAACCUACUGGGGACACUA
rnacentral:snoRNA from 1 species